AUGCCGAUAAACUUACGAAAUAUGUAAGAGUGCAAGAUUUCAAAAAUUUUAUAUAUAAAUUUGUUGGUAUCUAACUGGUUCUCUUUCGGAAAUAGUCGCUUCCGAGAACUUAAUAAACUAGAAUUAAUAUAAAAACAGGAAAAAAAAAAAAAAAGCACACUACUUCUUCAUGAGAAAUUAUAUUUUGGACGAGUAACAUUUAUAUUUAUCAAGAGUAAUAUUUAUAUUUGUUAGUAUUACGCUUUUCUUUUCUCUGAUAUGUAGUGAUUUAUUAGAUGUUUAUUUCACAUAUCAGGGUGUCCUUUUGUUUGAGAGUUUAUAAAUAUACGUGGAUAUGGUAAGUUCUCUAUGUAUGGUAAACUCUCUAUGUCUCAAGUAUUUUGUAAAUCAGAUCUAAAAGUCACGGAUAUACAUAAUCGUGGAUAUCGAGAAAAAUAAAAUGUAACUAUGAACACUUUUUGUUUUUUUCUGAACCAGUAUAUAUCUAAUUAUUUUUUUUAUUUUUUAUUUUUUAUACUUUUUAUUCAUCUUCUUCAUCCUGGAUAUUGGAAUAUUUUGGAUCAUGAUCACAAAUAUUAGAGUAUUCGUGGAUUAGUUAAUAUUUAUCACAAAGUAAAACACCAACAAAACAAACACAAUU
rnacentral:lncRNA from 1 species